rnacentral:lncRNA from 1 species
CCAUGGGAAUGUGUAGAUUAGAUUUUGGUUGUAAUUUGAUAUGAUCAAAUGUUGUAAAAGAGCAUAAACUCUUCUUUACUUUAAAGUAAUUUGUUUUGAUCAAAUGUUGUAAAAGAGCAUAACCUCUCUUUACUUUGAAGUACUCAUUUCUUGUUUUAUUUGAUAUGCAUGAAAUUGGAGUAGUUGGGUCCAACGCCCAAUAGGAAAAACACACCUUAAUAUGAUUAAACGCGUAACUAAAAUCAAUCACAAUCCCUAUACCGAGAUCCAACACUAGGCUCGUGUUGGAUCUAAUCAAAGGUUCAUAGUCAUCCUAAGGCCCUAAGGCAACUAUAUAGUCCAUCAAUGAAUGCAAACCUUAUGUUAGUAGUACCAUAUACUCUUGCUUUAAAAAUAGUUUUACAAGCAUAGUGGGAGUAUCAUGUACAACUAAAUCAAUCACAUGGACCAAUAGUUGUAAUAGGACCAAAUUGUUUUAAUAAGAUUAAAAUGCAUGCUUAUAUGUGAUGAGACCUAAAACCCUCAACCAAACCAUUAUUAAGUUGAUAAGCGUGAGAGCGCUUUGAACACUCUUUCGUGGCCUUCCACCGUGGUAGGCUCCGAUCAUUUGUGACUCGUACACCGACUUCACCCUAUCAUGGGGGAGUACAAAGUGCGUGCUUACACUCAGGAGGAGUUUUAUAUGCAUACAUGAUGUUGUGAAGGUAGGCAACGAGAAUGAUCAACAUCAUAUCAUUGUGAGGUUGUUCUUGAACCUGAUAGGAGCAUAUUUAUGUGACUUAAUUAGCUUGUUUCCUUGCAUUUACGUUGCUAGUACUUAGUAAUUUUAGUAUUUUAAGCUAUUUUCAUGCAAUUUCAGGUUUUAAGGACAAAGUAUGCAUACAUGUGCAUUUUGGAGCCUUUUGGAGUAGUUUUGGGCAUCAAAUGGAUUGCAUAUGCUUGGAGGUAAGAAGAUGGACGAAAUUGAAGAUCAAAUGAGCAUAGGAUUGAAUGAUGAUGUGAAGAAUUGGAUUCAAGACAAAUAAAGAAUGAAGUGUUCAAAAUUGGAAGCCAAAGUUUCUAAAGUUGGAAGUUUCUAUUCUUGGAGGUUUCCAUUUGUGAAGGUUACCAUCUUUGGCUCUAAACUUUCCUAAUCCUAAUUCACCUAUGUUCCAGCUGCAAGGAGGCUUCCUAAAUAUUUUAGGACACUAAAUAAAUGCUUCUAGAAGCCCUAAACCUUCCCUAAAGUCCAUGCCACACCAAAUCUGCAAGUAUCCUUCCUUGCCGCAAUUCCCUUUCCCUUUCUCUUCCAAAAUCUGCCACAUAUUCUCUUUCCCUUUCUCCCUUGCUUUGCCGCACCCCACAUUCCUUUUCCCCUCUUGAUUUCUGAUUUCCCUUAGCCUUUUUCUUAUGGAUGUGGGCUGAAAUUAUGUUUCCUUAAAUUAAUUAGGGUUAGGACUUUCCCAUCCCUAUAAAUAAACCCCUUUAUGCCGCAACUCUUCUCUUCUCUUCUAAUCAGCCAUUCCGCAUUCCACCCUUCACCAUGACCUACCUACAUCCAUCCACCACCACAAUUCACCACAAAUCAUCACCAAACACCCUUGUGUCGCAGCAAAGAAGAAAGAAGGAGACCCUUGGACGUGCUUGCCAUUCAAGACGUUGGAUUGUUAAAGCGUUUCUAGGUGUUUUCAUUCUUUGUUUUCAAUGUCUAAAUUUAUGUAUCUUUGUUUUGCGUUUAUGAGGAACUAAGCCCUUCUUAGUUAGGGGGUAAUUCGAAACCAUGUUCAUGCUUGCAAUAUGAAUUGAUUACUAUUGGUUGUGAUUUCAUAAGUUGUGAAUUCAAUUCGUUUAACUGCUUGAUUGAUAACGUAUUCGUGUAUGUUUGUUAAGAGUGCACGCUUAGUUUUCAUGCAUGAAUAUGAUGCUAGAAUAUAAGGGAGUUUCACCUAAUAGUUACAAACUUAUAUUCACAAGUAGUGGAGGUCGCUUAUAAACGAUCGCGUUAAAUGAAUUCUUGGCAUAAGUUUCAUGCUCAUCAUAGUAACGAGUGCCUCGUCAAUACUUAUAGUUCUCAUGUUGCUUAAUGAUCUUUGAUUGUAUCUUUAUUGUGCUUUUCACGUAAAGGAAUUUUGAAGAAUGUGUUGAGUUGUUGUAUGCGCUUUCCCAUCCAAUUCAAUAACUUAAGGAGAACUUGAAGGUUAAUUUAAGCGGACCUAAUUAACCUGGGGUGUUGAGUUUCAUGAUUUAUUGAACGAACAACUGAAAAUUGGUUUGUAUGCAAGUGUGUCAUGUGUGGAGAAGAACCCUCUAGCUAGCCCAUCAUCCAUAGUUUGAUCCAAAUUCGUCUAGAAUCUGUUUUCAAUUUACAAUCUGUUUUACAAGUUUAAUUUCGUCCAAAAUCAACCCCACCUUAUUUCUUUGAGUCAUAUUAGUUAGAACUUGUCUUAGAUUAUGUUUUUGAGUGUUUUAAGUCAUUAGAAAACCAAAUUUCGUCCAAGUUUGUGUUAGUAUUCAAAACUGCCCAGAAAGUGUUUUUAAGGCAGUUUUGAGUGUUUUUGUGCUGUUUUGAGUCUUUUGGUUUGUUUUAGUGUUUUAGAGUUUAGUUUUGUAUUCUUUGAGUCUAGUUUAGUGUUUUAAACUUUUUUUUACAUAUUUGAGUUAGUUUAGAGUGUUUUAGCAAUCCCUCCUAAUCCCCGGUUUAAGAAUGAUCCCUACUUAUCCAUACUACAACUGUCAACAAGAGGGUUUAAUUUGUGUGUUAAGUUAAUUUACGCAUCAAAUUUUGGCGCCGUUGCCGGGGAUUAGCAACUUUGCUAAUCCCUCGUUGUUUCUUUUUGUUUCUUUUUUGUAUCUUUUGUUUUAGUUACUGAUUUUGUUUUCCUUUGUUUUAUUUACUUUUGAUAUUUGAUUUAGUUUUGUUUCUUUGAUUUCAGGUACUAGAGAAGUAAGACAUGGAUUUUGCUAACAUUCAAGCUCAAUUGGCGAAUCUUUCUUCUCAAUUGUCACAGAUUGCCGGAAGGACCACAAUGCAAAGUGUCCCUACAUGUGGUGUGUCCUAUGGGCAAGGAUAUGCAACUUAUCAAUGUUCUCAAUUCGCUGCAAAUGAAGAUGCUUGGGGUUAUCAAUGCCAUAGCCAAUCAUGGGACAACAUGUUUUCCAACGCUUACAAUUCGGAUUGGAGAGAUUGUUCAGAUUACAUGUGGGGAGAACCUCAACAAUUCCAACAUGGUGGAUAUUGGCAGCAAGAAGAGUUCUAUCAAUGGCCAUAUGCACCAUCACAGCCACCACAACAAUCUGCCUGAUAGGAGCAUAUUUAUGCGCCUUAGUUAGCUAGUUCUUAUGCAUUUUCGUUAUGUUUUCUUCGUUAAAGUAGUCUUUUGAGCUACUUUCAUGUGUUUUCAGGUUCAAAGGGGCAUAAUACAUAAAAGAUGGCAAAAUGGAGCAUUUUGGAGCAAAAGUGAGCUUGGAUUGAAAAGUACAUGCUUGGAGCACAAGGAAUGGACGAGUUUGAAGGUCAAGGGAGCUUAAGAAAUGAAGAAAUGAAAGUGAAGAACAAAGAAUUCAGAAUUAGAAACCAAAGUUUCUAAAGUUGGAAGUUUCUAUUCUCGGAGGUUUCCAUUUGUGAGAGUUUCUAUUCUUGGCGUUGGGCUUCUAGAUGACCCAUCCUUACCUCUUGGACAAGGCCGCACCUUCCUAGCCCAAUUCAUCUUGGAUCCUCACUUAAUGCCGCACCUAAACCCUAGCCCAUUGCAUAUUUCUGACUUCUAAGCCUUUGCCGCACCUAGGGUUCUAGAAUCUUUGAUUGCCUUGCCUUGCAAGGCAUUCUAGAAGGCUCAUAUUAAACCCUAGCAAACCAGCCGCACCCUAGGCCUCAUUCCCAUUAAAAAUCUGAUUGUUUAACCUAAUUUAUGAUGGAUUUGGGCUUCUAAAAACCCUAACCUGAUUUACUAGGGUUUUUGGGUGCCUAUAUAUACUUGUUAAACCUUUUGGCCGAACUACCACCUCCCAUAUCAUCCAUUCACUCCAGAAAAUCAUUCUAAACCCUUGCCGCAACCACCAAUCCCAUUCUCCCUAGUUCUAAGUCCUUGCCGUGCCUCCCUAGUCCUUUUAACCCUUCUACCCUUUUCCAUAACCAUCCAUCCACCACAGUCGUGCCUUCCCACCACCAUCACCACCUUGUGCAGCCACCAAAGGAGGAGAAAGAAGGAGUGCCGUGCAGUCCAAAGGAGGAAGACACCUUGCACAUGCAAUCUGCCAUUAGUGGAGUGUUUGAAGUUCUUUCUUUCUUUGUUUCUGUUUUCAUGUUUAAUUUAAAUUGUUGUUCAAUUAUGUUAGACAUGUGGAA